ensembl:snRNA U6 U6 spliceosomal RNA
AUGCUCAUCGGCAGCACAUAUACUAAAAUUGGAAUGAUACAGAGAAAAUUAGCAUGGCCUCUGUGUAAGGAUGACACACAAAUUUGUGAAAUGUUCCAUAUAUUU